UCAUUCUUUUUGUUCUUUUUUCUCGUUUUUUUCUUUAUUUUUUUCUCUUAAGCU
rnacentral:ribozyme from 1 species